rnacentral:rRNA from 1 species
ACAUUGUUUGCAGGCUCAGAUCCUGAUGACAUGGAGCACGGCGAAUUGGAAGACUCAAGUCACAAUACCUAUGUCGACCAUGAUCCAUUGGACUAUGUCUACUCAAACCUCCCAGACCACACACACAUCCUGAAGCACGCCGCAAAUUGCGAUCACUGCAAGGCCAAGAAGUUUGUGUCUGAGGCCCCGGGAUUCUGCUGUCGCAGUGGGCAGAUCCACCUGAAGCGACCGGAGGCCGUCCCGGAGCUAAUGAGGCUUUGGUCUAGCAUGGAUGCGGACUCAAGGCAUUUUCGGGAGAACAUACGGUUCUUCAAUGACCACUUCUCCUUCACAAACCUCGGCGUCAGCCUUGAUGAAAGCUACACAAACAUGAAGUCUGGGGUGUACACGUUCCGGGCGCACGGCACCAUCUACCACAACGUUCAUUCCUUCGGGCCAACAUCACGUCCAGAUCAUCUACAGUUGUACUUCUACGACGACGACCCAGGCCUAACCCAUCGCAAGGCUGCCACCGAGCAAUUAGACCAAGAUGUCGUCAGAAAGUUAGUGGACAUACUCAGGGAAAACCCGUACUCCCAGUAG